GUACGGAGAGUUUCCUGGCGAGGAGCGGCGACAGCUCGUCAGAUACGUCACGGCCUUUGAUGGGGAGAUAGAAGAUUACAUGAACGAGCGAGUGCAGUUUGUGAUCACAGCCCAGGACUGGGACCCCAGCUUCGAGGAGGCGCUCCUGGAAAACCCUUCCCUGGCCUUCGUGCGUCCACGCUGGAUCUACAGCUGCAGCGAGCGGCAGAAGUGGCUGCCCUACCAGCU